rnacentral:tRNA from 1 species
AGAAGCUUAGGUUAAACCUCACUAAACCAGAGGCCUUCAAAGCCCCAAAUAGGGUGUAAACCCCUAGCUUCUG